rnacentral:rRNA from 1 species
UUCCGGUUGAUCCCGCCGGACCUGACUGCUAUCGGAUUGAUACUAAGCCAUGCGAGUCAUUGUAGCAAUACAAGGCAGACGGCUCAGUAACGCGUAGUCAACCUAACCUAUGGACGGGAAUAACCUCGGGAAACUGAGAAUAAUACCCGAUAGAACACUAUACCUGGAAUGGUUUGUGUUCCAAAUGAUUUAUCGCCGUAGGAUGGGACUGCGGCCUAUCAGUUUGUUGGUGAGGUAAUGGCCCACCAAGACUAUUACAGGUACGGGCUCUGAGAGGAGUAGCCCGGAGAUGGGUACUGAGACACGGACCCAGGCCCUAUGGGGCGCAGCAGGCGAGAAAACUUUGCAAUGUGCGAAAGCACGACAAGGUUAAUCCGAGUGAUUUGUGCUAAACGAAUCUUUUGUUAGUCCUAGAAACACUAACGAAUAAGGGGUGGGCAAGUUCUGGUGUCAGCCGCCGCGGUAAAACCAGCACCUCAAGUGGUCAGGAUGAUUAUUGGGCCUAAAGCAUCCGUAGCCGGCUCUGUAAGUUUUCGGUUAAAUCUGUACGCUCAACGUACAGGCUGCCGGGAAUACUGCAGAGCUAGGGAGUGGGAGAGGUAGACGGUACUCGGUAGGAAGGGGUAAAAUCCUUUGAUCUAUUGAUGACCACCUGUGGCGAAGGCGGUCUACCAGAACACGUCCGACGGUGAGGGAUGAAAGCUGGGGGAGCAAACCGGAUUAGAUACCCGGGUAGUCCCAGCUGUAAACUAUGCAAACUCAGUGAUGCAUUGACUUGUGGUCAAUGCAGUGCUGCAGGGAAGCCGUUAAGUUUGCCGCCUGGGAAGUACGUACGCAAGUAUGAAACUUAAAGGAAUUGGCGGGGGAGCACCACAAGGGGUGAAGCCUGCGGUUCAAUUGGAGUCAACGCCGGGAA